UGGGGAAUAUUGGACAAUGGGCGCAAGCCUGAUCCAGCCAUGCCGCGUGAGUGAAGAAGGCCUUAGGGUUGUAAAACUCUUUCACCCGUGAAGAUGAUGACGGUAGCGGGAGAAGAAGCCCCGGCUAACUCCGUGCCAGCAGCCGCGGUAAUACGGAGGGGGCAAGCGUUGUUCGGAUUUACUGGGCGUUAAGGGCGCGUAGGCGGGCGAUCAAGUGAGAGGUGAAAGGCCUGGGCUCAACCUAGGAACUGCCUUUGAAACUGAUCAUCUUGAGUCCGGGAGAGGAUGGCGGAAUUCCCAGUGUAGAGGUGAAAUUCGUAGAUAUUAGGAAGAACACCAGUGGCGAAGGCGGCUCACUGGCUCGGUACUGACGCUGAGGUGCGAAAGCGUGGGGAGCAAACAGGAUUAGAUACCCGCGUAGUCC
rnacentral:rRNA from 1 species